rnacentral:rRNA from 1 species
CCAACAGGGAUUGCCCCAGUAACGGCGAGUGAAGCGGCAACAGCUCAGAUUUGGAAUCUGGCCCCCAGGGCCCGAGUUGUAAUCUGGAGAGGAUGCUUCUGGCGCGGCGCCUUCCGAGUUCCCUGGAACGGGACGCCGGAGAGGGUGAGAGCCCCGUACGGUCGGACGCCCAGCCUGUGUGAAGCUCCUUCGACGAGUCGAGUAGUUUGGGAAUGCUGCUCAAAAUGGGAGGUAAAUUUCUUCUAAAGCUAAAUAUUGGCCAGAGACCGAUAGCGCACAAGUAGAGUGAUCGAAAGAUGAAAAGCACUUUGAAAAGAGGGUCAAACAGUACGUGAAAUUGUUGAAAGGGAAGCGCCCGUGGCCAGACUUGCGCCCGGCGGUACCACCCGGCGCCACAGCGCCGGGGCAUUCCGCCGGGCGCAGGCCAGCAUCGGUUUUCCCAGGGGGACAAAGGUGGCGGGAACGUAGCUCCUCCGGGAGUGUUAUAGCCCGCCGCGCCAUGCCCCUGGGGGGACCGAGGACCGCGCCUUGUGCAAGGAUGCUGGCGUAAUGGCCACCGGCGACCCGUCUUGAAACACGGACC